UACCGAGGUCUCAAGCGUUGUUCGGAUUCAUUGGGCGUAAAGGGUGCGUAGGCGGCGCGGUAAGUCGGGUGUGAAAUCUCGGGGCUUAACUCCGAAACUGCAUUCGAUACUGCCGUGCUUGAGGACUGGAGAGGAGACUGGAAUUUACGGUGUAGCGGUGAAAUGCGUAGAUAUCAGGAGGAACACCGGUGGCGAAGGCGGCUCUCUGGACGGUGACUGACGCUGAGACGCGAAAGCGUGGGGAGCAAACAGG
rnacentral:rRNA from 1 species